rnacentral:tRNA from 1 species
GCCUUGGUGGCUCAAUAGUUAAGUGCUUGGCUAUUAACCAAAAGGCUGAUGGUUCAAACCCACCCAAUGGCU